AUUAACAAGAGCCAAAAUGAAAAACAAAAAAAAGGGAAAAUAAAUAUAUCGACAUUCCCAUAUCACUCUGUACUCUAACACACUUUCUUUGUUUUCUCUCUCGCCGUAGUCACCAUGUCCUCUCUACUCUCACUCUUCGUCUGAUAGGUAAUAAGGGAGUUGUGCCUCGACACUCCUUCAUCUCACUCUCUCUCUCAAAAACCUAAAAGCUAAUGCUCCUUCUAACUCUCUCUCUCACACUAUGUCGGUCUCUCACCUCCGACUUCGGUUCCGGCAUCCCUCUCUGUCUCGCUCUACUCUCUCUAGCCACUACUCCUGGUGUCUCAUUCCAACACCUCUUUCAGUCUCAUCCCCUCAGUGAUGGAUUAUUCAUAGAUUGUGAUGUGCUGGAUGUGCAAAAUGAAAUUGAAGGGAAUAAUUAAGUUUUGGCAAGUUGUAUGCAGUACAAAGCACAAAGGCAAGAUGCAUUUACAUUUAAAGGCUAGGAUGCAUAUAUAUGCAAGGUAGUAGCUAAAGGGAGAUGUGUUUAGUCCAAUAUAGGGGCCAAAAUGCAUGCCGUUGUCUUGCCUGAUGCAAGUGAGGAUGCUACUUUGAAUACCUUUGUUACUGCUGGAUUUGGUGUGGCAACAUAGAGGUGCAUGGUUCUAGGUACAGCUGGCAUUGAGACCUUUUAUUCUUUAUGUUUUAUAUUUAAAAAAAAUCAUAUUUAUGCCUUCUAUAACCAGUUUGAAGCUCUUGUAAAAUAAAAGUGUAGUUUAGAGUAAUAUCAGUUUUGAAUUCGAGAGGUGGUCAAGGUUCUGUUUUGAUAAUGUGAUUUGGCCAGCUGCACUAUUUGCACACUAUAACGAGCACGCAGAGUAUGAUAGACUUAGAGGGAACAAGUGUUAUUGAAGUGGUUAGUCUUGUCUGAUUGCUUAUAGUUGUAAGUCUUGCCUAAUGAAAAAUAUUGGUAUGCAUAGUGCUUGGUAAAAUGUCUUUGUUGUACCCUACAAAUACGAGCUAACUCGCCUUGUUUGAGGUACAAUUGUCAAACAAUGGAUGAAAGUUACAAGACUUUGAAGACAUUUCAGUAACUUCAGAUUAAAUAGCUCGAGAUUAUGUCAUCAAUUUGGGCUAUCGUGAGAUCCUCCACAUCACCCUAAAUGUCUGUGAUGGAGAUCAAAUAACUCAACGUCUAGAUCGCCACAGUUAGUUUUCGAGCAUUACUCGGGUCAAAUUGCUUUAGUGUAUAACCUCCAGUUUGAGGAAUACAUUCAGCUUGUAGCUUAAGGGUGAAUCUCCACAGACUCGGAGAUUCUUUAUACGCAAUUAAUACUUGUAAUGUUAUCUUAUAAAUGUCUGAUAUUAAAGGAAUUAACAAAUAUAAGGAAUUAUGUAUUUGGGAAGUUACCCAUUCUUGUAAGUUAUCAAAUAUUGUGUGUUUACUCAACAU